GCUUGGCAGGAGGGAGGCAGGCUUGGAGCCUGUGUCUGGGGGAGCAGGGCCCCAUGUCCCAUGCUGUUGCAUUGAUUAAAUGAGGGCUCCUCCAGGGGACAAUUGCUUCCAUGCCAAGAACUCUGCAGAGCCUUGGAUACUGUACAAAGGCCAGACUGGAGGAGGUCAACAGGAUGGUGAACAGGACUGCUUAGUUUGAGAACUAGAAGCUCCAGGAGCCCCAUGUGCAUUUCUGCAUUCUCCCCCACCCCCGGGACAUCGGACUUCUCAGAGGAGGCUGCUACCCAUGUCACUGCCACUGAGGAGAGCACCUCUGAAGGAGCGCCACCUCCUGGUGCUCCUGUCGCAGCACAACAGGUAGACACACAGCAGCACACAAAUGCUUGUGCUUGCAAGCUUCAAUUCCCUGCCCCUGUGCUC